GUAGAGGCGGCGGAUAGUUCC
rnacentral:siRNA from 1 species